rnacentral:rRNA from 1 species
GAUGAACGCUGGCGGCGUGCCUAAUACAUGCAAGUCGAGCGAACAGAUAAGGAGCUUGCUCCUUUGACGUUAGCGGCGGACGGGUGAGUAACACGUGGGUAACCUACCUAUAAGACUGGGAUAACUUCGGGAAACCGGAGCUAAUACCGGAUAACAUUUGGAACCGCAUGGUUCUAAAGUGAAAGAUGGUUUUGCUAUCACUUAUAGAUGGACCCGCGCCGUAUUAGCUAGUUGGUAAGGUAACGGCUUACCAAGGCGACGAUACGUAGCCGACCUGAGAGGGUGAUACGCCACACGGGAACUGAGGCACGGUCCAGACUCCUACGGGAGGCAGCAGUAGGGAAUCUUCCGCAAUGGGCGAAAGCCUGACGGAGCAACGCCGCGUGAGUGAUGAAGGGUUUCGGCUCGUAAAACUCUGUUAUUAGGGAAGAACAAAUGUGUAAGUAACUGUGCACGUCUCGACGGUACCUAAUCAGAAAGCCACGGCUAACUACGCGCCAGCCGCCGCAGUAA